rnacentral:SRP_RNA from 1 species
CGUUGGUCACCUAGCAACGACUAGCGGUGGACCUGGUCAGGCCCGGAAGGGAGCAGCCACAGUCGUGAAUUCGUGUGAUAGGACUGGCUAACGGAA